UAUCAAGUACAGGAGUGAGAAUGAGAAGUUGUUCACUAAAUCAAAGAUGGCAGCCAAGAUGCAGUGGCAGGUUUUUGUGAAGAACGCAGGCCUAGAGGGAAAGGUCACCGGGGUGCAGGCUUCAAAGAAGUGGGAAAACCUCAAGCAAAAAUACAAGGAGGUGAGAACACCCAAGACAGGGUCAGGAAACGAAAAUGGGGAGUACCAGUGGCAAUACUAUGAGGA